rnacentral:rRNA from 1 species
AUGGCUACUGUACUGAAACAAGCAAACCGGGCUGAAGAAGCCAUCGAUGCGAUAAGAUCCUUCCGUGACCGUUGUCCAAAUGAAGCUCGGGAGUCUCUUGACAAUAUUCUUCUUGACCUAUACAAGGGAACACAUGGACAUGAAGCCACGGCGGCGACGAAUACGAUAUCGACAUUGGGCUGCGGCGACGAUGAUGACGACGACAUCGGCAUCGACACAGGGCUACAGCGGCGACGAAGACGACGACAUCGUCAUGGUGCUGCUGCGGCAGUGACGACGACGACAUCAACACGGCCUUGUGGAGGCGCCGACGCCGACGACAUAGACGCGUGGCAUAUAUUGUGUGUGUGUUUGUGCGCGUGCGUGUGUGUGUGCGUGUGCGUGUGUUAA